GGAAACUAGAGCACUGUUUAUGACGUCAAAAGGUAUCUAGGGAAAGAAAUUUCUUUCCCCACAUAUCUCUGCCCAUAUGGGUAAUAAAACUACUGCUGCCGCCACAGAGGCUACUCUUGUCUCAAAAUCACACAAGGAAUCUUUUACAAGUAAUUUUACAUACAUUGUACAAAGUUUGAUGGUAUUAAUUGAAGUGGGUUCUUGGGAAAACAGAGUUCACUGAGAACAAUCGAUCCUGCGAUCUAUCGCAACUCGAGCGGGUGCUCUACCAGCGAGUUACGUCCCGCCCCUGAACAGUGAAUUGAAGAGCAAAGCAGUGUUGUUGGAAUCUUGUUCAUUUAAUAACAAAGAGUAUUCCAAAAAGACAUUUAGAUUUUUUUGCAAAUCGUGAGCAUUGGUUGCUAGUAGUGCAGUAUCGUCGGCAUAUAGGAGACAAAUCAUAAGUUCAAAUUCAUGACUAUGGGAAUGAAACACUGAGAGUUCCAGGCCUGUAUAAACCAUGAAGAAGAUCUACAAACAUCUCUCAACAAACUCUCCAUAGAAAAAAGAAGCCUUCAUCAAAUACUUUCAUACGUU